UUUAUAUUUAGCUGAGUGAACUUAAAGUCAUAGCAAUUCAAAUCAUGGAGGAUUUGAAUAGUUAAAUUCAGCACAUGGAAGUGCUGUAUUUAACGGUGCGUAUAGUGACUUGAAGUUCUUGAAGGUAGUCAUUCA
rfam:Kangiella geojedonensis strain YCS-5, complete genome.